UGAGGAAUUUUCUGCAAUGGGCGAAAGCCUGACAGAGCAAUACCGCGUGAAGGAUGAAGGCCUACGGGUUGUAAACUUCUUUUCUCAAGGAGGAAAACAUGACGUUACUUGAGGAAUAAGCAUCGGCUAACCCUGUGCCAGCAGCCGCGGUAAUACAGGGGAUGCAAGUGUUAUCCGGAUUCAUUGGGCGUAAAGCGUCUGCAGGUUGAUAUUUAAGUCUGUUGUUAAAUCUUUGGGCUUAACCCAAAAUCUGCAAAAGAAACUAUAUAUCUUGAGUAUGGUAGAGGUAAAGGGAAUUUCCAGUGGAGCGGUGAAAUGCGUAGAUAUUGGAAAGAACACCAAUUGCGAAGGCACUUUACUGGGCCAGUACUGACACUCAGAGACGAAAGCUAAGGGAGCAAACAGG
rnacentral:rRNA from 1 species